rnacentral:rRNA from 1 species
GGUCAGGCGGGACUACCCGCUGAGUUUAAGCAUAUAAAUAAGCGGAGGAGAAGAAACUUACAAGGAUUCCCCUAGUAACGGCGAGCGAACCGGGAGCAGCCCAGCUUGAGAAUCGGGCGGCUGUGCCGUCCGAAAUGUUGUCUGGAGAGGCGUCCUCAGCGACGGACCGGGCCCAAGUCCCCUGGAAAGGGGCGCCUGGGAGGGUGAGAGCCCCGUCCGGCCCGGACCCUGUCGCCCCACGAGGCGCCGUUAACGAGUCGGGUUGUUUGGGAAUGCAGCCCAAAUCGGGCGGUAGACUCCGUCCAAGGCUAAAUACAGGCGAGAGACCGAUAGCGAACAAGUACCGCGAAGGAAAGAUGAAAAGUACUUUGAAAAGAGAGUCAAAGAGUGCUUGAAAUUGCCGGGAGGGAAGCGGAUGGGGGCCGGCGAUGCGCCCCGGCCGUAUGCGGAACGGCUCUUGCUGGUCCGCCGCUCGGCUCGGGGUGUGGACUGUUGUCGGCCGCGCCGGCGGCCAAAGCCCGGGGGCCUUAGGUGCCCCCGGUGGCCGUCGUCGGCACGGCCGGUACCCGCGCGCCGAAAGGCGUGUCCCUCGGGGCACUGCGCUGCAACGGCCUGCGGGCUCCCCAUCCGACCCGUCUUGAAACACGG